AUUUACAGCCAAAUGGACAAUCAGCGUAAAAUCUUUUGGAGGCAUUGACCAAAAAGGGUAUUGCUGUUGCUAAAUUGUGUGUAUUGGAUAAAAACGUUAAAGAUCGUUUAGAGGAUAUUGAUAAUGUGUACACAGAAAUCAUUAAAUUUGUGGACGCCAGUGAUUCGAAGGUAAUACAAUUCUCUCUGUGGCAUGCUUAUGUCCAUGAACAGUAUGGUCGUAUGUAUAAAUAUUUG